GUGAGGAAUAUUGGUCAAUGGGCGAGAGCCUGAACCAGCCAAGUCGCGUGAAGGAAGAAGGAUCUAUGGUUCGUAAACUUCUUUUGCAGGGGAAUAAAGUGCGGGACGUGUCCUGUUUUGUAUGUACCCUGAGAAUAAGGAUCGUCUAACUCCGUGCCAGCAGCCGCGGUAAUACGGAGGAUCCGAGCGUUAUCCGGAUUUAUUGGGUUUAAAGGGUGCGUAGGUGGUUUGAUAAGUCAGCGGUGAAAGUUUGCAGCUUAACUGUAAAAAUGCCGUUGAAACUGUCGGACUUGAGUGUAAAUGAGGUAGGCGGAAUGCGUGGUGUAGCGGUGAAAUGCAUAGAUAUCACGCAGAACUCCGAUUGCGAAGGCAGCUUACUAAGCUACAACUGACACUGAAGCACGAAAGCGUGGGGAUCAAACAGGAUUAGAAACCCGAGUAGUCC
rnacentral:rRNA from 1 species